AGAGUUUGAUCCUGGCUCAGAACGAACGCUGGCGGCGUGGAUAAGACAUGCAAGUCGAACGGGACACCAUGAGUAGCAAUACAAGUGGUGUCUAGUGGCGAACGGGUGCGUAACACGUGGAUACAUUCCGGGAAGCGGGGGAUAGCCCAGGGAAACUUGGAUUAAUACCGCAUGUGGUCGAAAGACUAAAGGCAGGGACCGCAAGGCCUGCCACUUCCCGAUUGGUCCGCGGCCUAUCAGCUAGUUGGCGGGGUAAAAGCCCACCAAGGCUACGACGGGUAGCUGGUCUUAGAGGACGACCAGCCACACUGGAACUGAGACACGGUCCAGACACCUACGGGUGGCAGCAGUCGAGAAUCUUUCACAAUGGGGGCAACCCUGAUGGAGCGACGCCGCGUGGAGGAUAAGGUCUUCGGAUUGUAAACUCCUGUCAUGUGUGAACAAGGUUGUCGUGUUAAUAGCAUGGCAAAUUGAUGGUAACACAAGAGGAAGAGACGGCUAACUCUGUGCCAGCAGCCGCGGUAAUACAGAGGUCUCAAGCGUUGUUCGGAAUCACUGGGCGUAAAGGGUGCGUAGGUGGCGUGGUAAGUCAGAUGUGAAAGCCCGGGGCUCAACCUCGGAAUUGCAUCCGAUACUACCAUGCUAGAGUACUGAAGAGGUGACUAGAAUUCUCGGUGUAGCAGUGAAAUGCGUAGAUAUCGAGAGGAAUACCAACGGCGAAGGCAGGUCACUGGGCAGUUACUGACACUGAGGCACGAAGGCCAGGGGAGCAAACGGGAUUAGAUACCCUGGUAGUCC
rnacentral:rRNA from 1 species